AGUCAGCACAGUCAGCAGAGCCAGCACGCAGCGCCGCGGGGAGUGUGCCAUGCUGCUGCUGGUGAUGGUGCUGGCGGCGGAGACGCGCGGCGCUGAAGACGCGGACGUGGACGGCCUGGACGCGGCAGCCCUCCAGGGCCUCAGCGACCUGCCACUGGACGCGUUGCUGCGCGUGCGCAGAACACUGGUCUCCCAGCACACAGCAACCGAAGGGACGGCGGCGGAGUCGUCGGGGACCGAACCCGUUAUGGAGCAUGGCGCUCCUGCGGAG